AUCUGCUCUGAGGACACCCUGCUCGACGAUGCUCCUCUUCGCUAGCAUCUCCAUUGCAUGAUAGGGGGAGAGUUCUUGUACUCAGAGCAGCUGUUGAUCUGCAGCAACUCUAGAAGUAGGAUUUAGGAUAAUCAUAGUUUCAGUUUGCCAAGCAGGGAGUAUAAUUUAACUGGAAAUCAACCAACUAUUGCUUUGAACUGGAGUAUAAUUACUGAAGCGGGUCGAAGUGGGACGAUUUGGUUCGGUGGUCAACGACGGCUGCGCGGGAUGCAGUAUGGUAUGGCUUGAGCAUCUCGAGGAGGGGCUCUCUCUGCAAGGCAUCCUCUACGCCACGGCGGAGGUGUUCGAGUAGUCUGUCCCGGGGCUGCGCGUGGAGCACGUCGACGUCUCCGUCUUGCCAUUGCUCAGCACCGCCCUGCCGGCUGGGGUUCUUAUUUGCCAUCGAGGCCUUCCGCAACUGGGACCAUGGUGCCUGAUAGCUUCCUCUCCGGCUGGAUCGGCAGUCUAUCCACCCAAACAAGAGGGUCCUCAUGGAGAGUAUCCACAAGUCCGAGGCUGAGAAGGAAAGAGAGAAGACCCUCUCUGACCAGUUUGAGGCUUCAGUUUGAGGCCAAGCGUGCUAAGAGCAAGGCUAGCUAGCAGGGAGAGGAAUAUUGCGAGGAGGCAGGAGAGAUUGGCUCAGGUAAGAUGACUUUCACUUGAGCCCUGUCUAUUUCCUCACAUAGUUUGAUUUGUGCUGCAUUAUAUUGGUACUGAAAUACAUAAUGCGUGCACAUGUCUUCUGUUGGAUGUUUCAGAGAUGCUUAUGCAGGGUUUCUUUAAUCAUUUUGGUUCAUGGUACCAGCUAAUGAAAUUUACGUGCUCUGAUGAUGAAUUCGUGCCAUGUCGAGUUGGAUUGGCGGUGGCGUAUUUUUCCUCUUGUAGUCAAAUUAGUGAGAUGCUUCGUUCUCUUCUUUAUGUGAACGUACAUGUAUGACCAGUGUAAUUAGGUGCAGUAGUUUUGGUCAAUGUCAAAGCAGAAGAGAGCUACAUGUAUGACCAGUAUUGAAUCACGGCGAGAGAGUAAUGUAGCUUCGUCCCUCCCUGAUGCUGCUAAUGCAAGAUGCAUAGGAAUCUUAUUCAAUAUCAAAAAUUGACAUACCGUGCAAUCAUGUCUAAUGUCUUUCAUUAAAUCUCCGCGGAGGUGCCGGCCGGCUGGUACAUAUGUCAGUGCAUCAUCUAUCUCAGACUCUCAGUCACAGCUAUCUAAUUGGUGUAUAUUCAUCUCCAAUUACAGCCUCAUAAUUUUUUGGACAUUCAUUUACAGCCCGAUCUACUUGGAUGUGCAGACCUGGGAGUUGGAACAAUUCACCAAGAGAAGCCAGUUCGUGUAUAACAGAAUGGGUGGAAUUUAUCAUGAGAUCCUACCCAAAUCCGAGUACUUCUCCAAGGCACUGUACACCUUCCAUUUCGCUCAAAACAAUCUCUUUGUAGGCUACUU